rnacentral:rRNA from 1 species
AUGUACAUUCCUAUAGCAUAGAAUUAAUGCAUUGGAUCCCAUUAGAACUUCGAAGUUAAGCGCGCUCGGGCUAGAGUAGUACUGGAAUGGGUGACCACUCGGGAAGUGCUAGUGUUUUACAUA